rnacentral:rRNA from 1 species
GUGGGGAAUAUUGGGCAAUGGGCGAAAGCCUGACCCAGCAACGCCGCGUGAGGGAAGAAGGCCUUCGGGUUGUAAACCUCUGUCCUUGGUGACGAAACAAAUGACGGUAGCCAAGGAGGAAGCCCCGGCUAACUACGUGCCAGCAGCCGCGGUAAUACGUAGGGGGCAAGCGUUGUCCGGAAUGAUUGGGCGUAAAGGGCGCGUAGGCGGCCUGGUAAGUCUGGAGUGAAAGUCCUGCUUUUAAGGUGGGAAUUGCUUUGGAUACUGUCGGGCUUGAGUGCAGGAGAGGUAAGUGGAAUUCCCGGUGUAGCGGUGAAAUGCGUAGAGAUCGGGAGGAACACCAGUGGCGAAGGCGACUUACUGGACUGUAACUGACGCUGAGGCGCGAAAGUGUGGGGAGCAAACAGGAUUAGAUACCCUGGUAGUCC